GGGACGUUUAUGGGACCACACUGUGAGGUAGCUAACAGCAAUGUCGUGGGACGUUUAUGGGACCACACUGUGAGGUAGCUAACAGCAAUGUCGUGGGACGUUUAUGGGACCAGACUGUGAGGUAGCUAACAGCAAUGUCGUGGGACGUUUAUGGGACCACACUGUGAGGUAGCUAACAGCAAUGUCGUGGGACGUUUAUGGGACCAGACUGUGAGGUAGCUAACAGCAAUGUCGUGGGAAGUUUAUGGGACCAGAC